rnacentral:tRNA from 1 species
AGUCGCGUAGCUCAGUUGGUUAGAGCACCACCUUGACAUGGUGGGGGUCGCUAGUUCGAGUCUAGUCGCGACUACCA